CGUAGGGUUGCUUCUUUUAGUUGUACACCAGUUCUUAGCUGCUUCUCACCAUUACCCAGUUAGCGUUUUAUAACAUAUUAGUUUAAUUAAUAUUACCACAAAUAUCAGAAAACAGUGAACGGCAGGAAAAGGAAUGGUUAAUAUUACCUUUAACCUUUGCUACCAGUCACCCAAAAAAAAAAAAAAAAAAAUCGAACGGCAGGAAAAGGAAUGGUUAAAAUUACCUUUAACCUUUGCUACCAGUCCCCCAAAAAAAAAAAAAAAAAUCUCGAACUCACACGUGCG
rnacentral:lncRNA from 1 species